CCUACGGGAGGCAGCAGUGAGGAAUAUUGGUCAAUGGACGAGAGUCUGAACCAGCCAAGUAGCGUGAAGGAUGACUGCCCUAUGGGUUGUAAACUUCUUUUAUAAAGGAAUAAAACGAGGCACGUGUGCCUUUUUGCAUGUACUUUAUGAAUAAGGAUCGGCUAACUCCGUGCCAGCAGCCGCGGUAAUACGGAGGAUCCGAGCGUUAUCCGGAUUUAUUGGGUUUAAAGGGAGCGUAGAUGGGUUGUUAAGUCAGUUGUGAAAGUUUGCGGCUCAACCGUAAAAUUGCAAUUGAUACUGGCAGUCGUGAGUACAGUUGAGGUAGGCGGAAUUCGUGGUGUAGCGGUGAAAUGCUUAGAUAUCAUGAAGAACCCCGAUUGCGAAGGCAGCUUACUAAACUGUGACUGACAUUGAUGCUCGAAAGUGUGGGUAUCAAACAGGAUUAGAUACCCCAGUAGUC
rnacentral:rRNA from 1 species